rnacentral:lncRNA from 11 species
CUGCCAGUGACUGCGGACAUGAGAUCAGUCUCCCAAGUGCAGCGAGCUGCCACAAAGGUCACUGAGCAAUAAGGGAUCACAAAGCAAAAUAUAACAAAAGGUCCAUACUAAAAGCUAGAUGCAGCUUUUAUACUGUGUAUCUAGCCAUGUGGCGUGUACAGUC